CAAACAUCUACUAAUGUCAAUGGGUGCAUUUUUUUCCACAUGGAGGAAUUAAAUGGCACACCUAGAAAAAAAUUAUCUUUAGUACUUUUGCUCUUUUUCCAUGUUCACUUCAGCUGAAGAAAUAUUUUUUCCUACACACACUCACAGGACAUAGUAAGUAAAAAGCUUCAUGAGUAUUUCCCCAUUCUGUGUUGGAUCCUCUGCGUUGGAUAAUUUGUUUCUUCAUUAGAUGACAAUUCUGAAUUUCUCUCUUGUAACUCGCCUGAAGUAAAUCUGAAAGCUAGCUAUUUUAUCAUGAAAUACAUUUUGAAUUCACUGUUUUUGAAUUAUAAACCAAUUAAAAUCCUUUUUUUUUUUACAGUGCUCUGAUUAGUCUUUCUGAAGUAACUGCAAAAAACAUUUUAUUCUGUUAAUUGAAUGACUAUUUAUUGCCAUACAAUCUUUAAAAGAGCACUAAAAACUCUUGAAUGCUGGAAACUCAUGGACCUUACUUUAGUCAAAGUCUUUUAAGUGAUCUGUCAUGAUUUCCUCAACUAUUAAAUAAAGCAUUAAAUAUUUAAUAAAAUAUUUUUUACAUCGCUGAAUCACAUGGUAAUGAAUCCUUUGUUUCAAACUAUGCUGUCCAUCCAGCUAAUCCUUCUCCUUUGCUGUGGAAAAUCAGUGCCACACUUCACGGAUUCAGGUUUUUUUGAAGUAAAUCCAUUAUAGAAUAUCUUAUGAAUAGCAGAAUAAAAUUCCUAGGUAUAUUUUAUGCAAUAUUUACAGGAAGAUAUAUUCAGGGAAGAAAUAUAUUUAUUAAUCUGUAUUAUUCUGAUUUUACUUUUGCAGUUUUUUUGUUUGUAUUAACUUAGUUUUACCUUUGAGUAUAUGAGUAGCAUUACUAAAUUACUAAAAUGUGUGUGAGGUUAAAUAGAACUUAUGUACUUUAAGUAUUUUUCCUCUUUUUUAACUUAUGUUCAAAUGUAGCAUAUGAUGGUAUCGAUGUUACUAUAUUUUGUGCCGUUUUGUAAAUUAUGAAAACAAAAAUAUGUAGCUGGUUCAUGUCUAACAAGAAAAAUGCACAAAUGGCUUGCAUCAUUUAUAAGUACAGUUUUACUGUAUUUCAACAUUUGAACAGACAGUUAUUUACAUAAAUGCACAUUUUAAAUCUGCUUACCUAGUUUACUCUAAUGCUCCAAAAUUCCAAGAUAAACUGCCGUAUCAGUGCAGUAUAUAUAGAUGUAAAACAUGAAAUAUUUGCAGCACUUUUUAAAUAUGAAAAUACUAUUGCUUGUCUGUUGGGGAAGAGAGUUCGAGAUUCUAUUUUUUUGUAUUUUUUUUUAAAGAAACAAAAUACAAACUUUUUGCUAUGUUACAUUUGUUAUUAUCAUCUUACUGGUGCUGUAAGUUCCUAAUGUAUUUCUCAGUUUAAUCUGAGUUUAUUCUUGCAAAUUGGCCAUUUCAAACAGCAAGGUGAGUCAUGGCAUGGAGCUCAGGUCAAUAAUCUGGAUUUGAACGUAGACAGCUCAAGACAGAGACAGUUUCACCAGCCAGGCUUAUUAUCUCAGUUAGUUUGUACAGGUAACAUUAGAGAGAUGGAAAAUGCGGAAGAGAAGAGGCAGAGACUGUUUGUAGAGCGUGGAAGGUAAAGAAGAUAGUGAUUUGGGAAGAGAAGGAAUGAUGGAUGUGAGUUGGGAGUGUAAGCACUUACAAACUAUCUAAUUUUAUUGUUUUCAAGAAUUUUUCUAAGUGACGGAGGAAAAAAUAGUUAUUUACAUGAUUUUUGGUGCACAAUGUUCUAGAUAUCCCAGUAAAUAUUGAAAUCACACACAUACACACACACACACACAC
ensembl:lncRNA